UGUCUGUCAGUAAAUUAAGUGAUUGUUAAUUGUAGAUUGUUUACUCCGCUGUUAUAUAAUAACGUAUUAAGUAAACAUUAACAAUAAUUUUUAUGCUCUUGAAUAUGUCAUAUAUUUAUUCAAAAAAUUGUACUAGUUAACUAGGAAAUAGGUUGAAUAUGGCCCAACGGUUUGAAUUACAAUUUAAUAUAAAUUCUUUCGAAUACUUAAUACAAGACGAUUUUUGCCAACUAUGUUUGUUAAAAAUUGGUGCUCUUCAAAUCACACAAUGUGUUACAGAAAAAAUAAAGGAGUGUUUAGAUUUAGAUUUCACAGAAGAUUUCCCAAACAGGAUUUGUAAAGUUUGUGAAAUAAAGAUUAAUCAGUUUUACGACUUUAAGAAAACUUGCCAGGAUUCCUAUAGAAAGUUUCGUGAAUUUUUAGCAAAUAAACUAAUCAAAUUGGAAUCGUAUCAAAAAGAUGAUUCAGAUAAUACACAUUUUAAAGAAGUCUCAUCAGAACCUGAAGUCAAACCAACAGUUAUUGAAACUAUACCAAUAGCGAUUGAAAAUGAAGCAUUAGUUAAUGACACUAAACCAAUAGUUAAGGACACUAAACAAGUAAAAACAAGGAUACGCAAAAAGCGUUCAGAUUCAGCAGCAGAAUAUCUUAACAAACAUAGAGAAGAACAUCAUGAGAAUAGCAUUACCCUCUACAAAUGUUUAGGUUGUGAAAAGGGUUUUAGAAAUAGACGUCUCUGUCUUAGCCAUGAACGGCUAUUCUGCCGGGAACUUAAAAAUGGAUAUAAAUGUAAUAUUUGCAACAUAUUAUUACCAACACGAAGAAAGUAUGAAAAUCAUGACCAACAACAUAAGAGUAAUGUAAACGUUGAAGCGGUAGAAGAUAAUAUAUUUAAAUGUGAUUUAUGCCAUUUGAGAUUUGGCAAUGAAGGUAAUCUUAUUAAACAUCUGAAGAAACAUAAUAAUCCAAAGAGAUAUGAGUGUGAGACAUGUGGACGAGUUUUCCAACGUAGUGAUUAUCUUUACAAGCACACAUUUAUACAUCAUGGCCUAAAGAAAUAUGCUUGUAUAUAUUGUGCAUUUAAGACCAACCAGAAGUCUGCAUUAAAUAUACAUAUGAGGAUACAUUCAGGUACAAAGUACAAAUGUGAUAUUUGUUCAUACCGUACAGUGUCCAGUGGUAAUCUUAAAACACACAGGCGAAAACAUUUAUCAAUACAGACAAAAAAAACAACAUGAGUAUGCGAGAAGAAAUUCGUUUAUAAAGAGAGCCUCGAGGGACAUAUAUCCUGCGCACACGCACCCCAGCACUAUAUCUGCGAUUGUGGCGGCCUCUAUACAAGCGCGAAGUAAUUGAAGCGACAUCUAGCGAAGCAGUGUGGCGCGAAAAGCGAUAAAUAUAUUUUGUUAAUUACUGUAAAUAAACAAUAUUGUCUUAGUAUGCACACGUAUCCGCCAAUUUGUGACGAUGCACACGCACAUACGUCAUAUUGUGACCAUGCACACAUACCUGUGAUGAACCUGUGGAACAUCUGGAUUAAUAAUUUUAAAUAAAUAAUGGUAAUAAAUGAAUGUGCGACGGUUUGGCAACGUCGCCAAUUUGGCAGCGUAGCCAUGACCACAGGUCACUUGGGUGGAGACUGGCUACUUGGCAGCCUGGCGACGUCGCCAACAAAAUGUAUGCGAGCAAGUUGCGUCUCACUCACUCAGUCGCCAACCAGUUGCCGAAUUAAGACUGCACUUUUUUUGCUUUUUCAUAGUCUCAAAAUUAUGUGCUUUACUUAGUUUUCCUGAAAGAAACUGUUAGUAAGACUACUGCUCUCCUGAUUAUUAAUAUUUAACAUAAAAACUAAUUUUAAAAUUAUAAUUUAUUUGAUUAUUUUUUUUGACUUUUGUGUCGAGACCUAACUGAAUGCAUUGGCGACGCAAGGACGCCAGACGUAGCCAUGGUAACGUCGCUGGCCACGUCGCCAUGGCGUCUCGGUGACAGCGGCAACUCGAGGUCGCUUUUCUCAUAGACGUGAACAUAUGAUUCGCAUAAAAGUCACUGCACGUUUUGGAUGUUUGUUUAUUGUAACAGAAUAAACUAUAAACAGAAUAUUAUUAACUGUGGUGUUCAGAAUAUUUACGGAGACUUUAGACUAUUGUAAGUAAUUACACGAACCAUGGAAUAUUCUUUCGAAUUCGGCGCAUAUAUUAUUUUUACUACGUAUUUAUUUGAUUGUAAGAUAGAUUAUCGUAUGUAACGGGAUGUUCAAUUUAUUUAAAAUAUAGGGCAUAUACUAAAGCCAUCAUGUUCAGGAGGUCGUCGAAAUGGUUGAGAAGGAAUCAUCCGUGGAAAAGUAAUACCACAGACCAGAGUAAGUAAUCGACCAUACGACGAAAGUGGAGCAAAUAAGCAAAUCAAAUUGGAAUCGUAUCACGAAGAUGAUUCAGAUAAUACACAUUUUAAAGAAGUCUCACCAGAACCUGAAGUCAAACCAAUAGUUAUUGAAUCUAUGCCAAUAGCUAUUGAAUCUAUGCCAAUAGCUAUUGAAACUGAACCAAAAGUUAAUGACACAAAACCAAUAGUUAAGGACACUAAACAAGUAAAAACAAGGAUACGCAAAAAGCGUUCGGAUUCCUGGUGCUAUGUAUGUCUCAUAGAUUUUAAAACAGCAGAAUAUCUUAACAAACAUAGAGAAGAACAUCAUGAGAACAGCAUUACCCUCUACAAAUGUUUAGGUUGUGAAAAGGGUUUUAGAAAUAGACGUCUCUGUCUUAGCCAUGAACGGCUAUUCUGCCGGGAACUUAAAAAUGGAUAUAAAUGUAAUAUUUGCAACAUAUUAUUACCAACACGAAGAAAGUAUGAAAAUCAUGAUCAACAACAUAAGAGUAAUGUAAAAGUUGAAGCGGUAGAAUAUAAUAUAUUUAAAUGUGAUUUAUGCCAUUUGAGAUUUGGCAACGAAGGUAAACUUAUUAAACAUCUGAAGAAACAUAAUAAUCCAAAGAGAUAUGUGUGUGAGACAUGUGGACGAGUUUUCCAACGUCGGGAUUAUCUAUACAAGCACACAUUUAUACAUAAUGGCCUAAAGAAAUAUGCUUGUACAUGUUGUGCUUAUAAGACCAACCAGAAGUCCGCAUUAAAUAUACAUAUGAGGACACAUACAGGUAUAAAGCCAUUUGGAUGUGAUAUUUGUUCAUACCGUACAGUGUCCAGUGGUAAUCUUAAAGCACACCGCCAAAAACAUUCAUCAUUGAAACAGUAUGAGUGUUCAGUAUGCGAGAAGAAAUUCGUUUAUAAAAAGAGCCUCGAAGUACAUAUAUCCUGCGCACACGCACCCCAGCACUAUAUCUGCGAUUGUGGCGCCCUCUAUACAAGCGCGAAGUCAUUGAAGCGACAUCUAGCGACGAAGCAGUGUGGCGCGAAAAGCGAUAAAUAUAUUUUGUGAAUUACUGUGAAUAAACAAUAUUGUCUUUUUAUGUACACGUCAUAUUGUGACCAUGCACACGCACAUACGUCAUAUUGUGACCAUGCACACGCACAUACUGCGUAUCGUGACCAUGCGUGCACACACGGCGUAUUGUGACCAUGCACAUACCCCAAUCGAAGCUGUAAAACAUCGAGAUAAAUAAUUUUAAAUAAAUAAAUGAGUCAGUGAUAAUU